rnacentral:ncRNA from 1 species
GUGCUGUGAGAAAGGAGAGAAGGUUAGCACUCCCCUUGACAUUGAGGAGGAAGACCAAAAGGCCUCGUCAUGAAAAGGACAAAGAGACCACGAAGCCUGGUUGUAGGCUUACUCAUCACUGCACUUGCUCGUGGCUGUUUUACUUCAUCUU